GACGAACGCUGGCGGCGUGCUUAACACAUGCAAGCCGAACGGUAAGGCCCUUCGGGGUACACGAGUGGCGAACGGGUGAGUAACACGUGGGUGAUUUGCCCUGCACUUCGGGAUAAGCCUGGGACACUGGGUCUAAUACCGGAUAGGACCACUGCCUGCAUGGGUGGUGGUGGAAAGCUUUUGUGGUGUGGGAUGGGCCCGCGGCCUAUCAGCUUGGUGGUGGGGUGAUGGCCUCCCAAGGCGACGACGGGGAGCCGGCCUGAGCGGAUGACCGGCCACACUGGGACGGACGUACGGCCCAGACGCCGACGGGGGGCAGCAGUGGGGAAUAUUGCACAAUGGGCGCAAGGCUGAUGCAGCGACGCCGCGUGAGGGAUGACGGCCUUCGAGUUGUAAACCUCUUUCAGCACCGACGAAGCGCAAGUGACGGUAGGUGCAGAAGAAGGACCGGCCAACUACGUGCCAGCGGCCGCCGUAA
rnacentral:rRNA from 1 species